rnacentral:rRNA from 1 species
GACGAACGCUGGCGGCGUGCUUAACACAUGCAAGUCGAACGAAGAGCGAUGGAAGCUUGCUUCUAUCAAUCUUAGUGGCGAACGGGUGAGUAACGCGUAAUCAACCUGCCCUUCAGAGGGGGACAACAGUUGGAAACGACUGCUAAUACCGCAUACGAUCUAACCUCGGCAUCGAGGAUAGAUGAAAGGUGGCCUCUACAUGUAAGCUAUCACUGAAGGAGGGGAUUGCGUCUGAUUAGCUAGUUGGGGGGGGAACGGCCCACCAAGGCGAUGAUCAGUAGCCGGGCUGGGAGGAUGAACGGCCACAUUGGGACUGAGACACGGCCCAGACUUCUACGGGAGGCAGCAGUGGGGAAUCUUCCGCAAUGGACGAAAGGCUGACGGAACAACGCCGGGUGAGUGAUGACGGCCUUCGGGUUGUAAAGCUCUGUUAAUCGGGACGAAAGGCCUUCUUGCGAAUAGUUAGAAGGAUUGACGGUACCGGAAUAGAAAGCCACGGCUAACUACGUG